rfam:Lupinus angustifolius cultivar Tanjil contig_38377, whole genome shotgun sequence.
AUGCAAAUGAUGAUUAACUCGGAUUCCCCUUCAAGACUUCUUUGAAUGAUGCAGACCCGAGAUUCUGAUGCG